CCUACGUGCGGCAGCAGUGAGGAAUAUUGGUCACUGGACGGAAGUCUGAACCAGCCAUGCCGCGUGCAGGAAGACGGCUCUAUGAGUUGUAAACUGCUUUUGUACAAGGGUAAACCUGAAUACGUGUAUUCAGCUGAAAGUACUGUACGAAUAAGGAUCGGCUAACUCCGUGCCAGCAGCCGCGGUAAUACGGAGGAUCCAAGCGUUAUCCGGCUUUAUUGGGUUUAAAGGGUGCGUAGGCGGGUUAUCAAGUCAGCGGUAAAAUCGUGGAGCGAAACUCCAUCCAGCCGUUGAAACUGAUGAUCUUGAGUGGGCGAGAAGUAUGCGGAAUGCGUGGUGUAGCGGUGAAAGGCAUAGAUAGCACGCAGAACUCCGAUUGCGAAGGCAGAAUACCGGCGCCCGACUGACGCUGAAGCACGAAAGCGUGGGUAUCGAACAGGAUUAGAUACCCCGGUAGUC
rnacentral:rRNA from 1 species